rnacentral:rRNA from 1 species
AUUGAACGCUGGCGGCAGGCCUAACACAUGCAAGUCGAACGGUAGCACAGAGAGCUUGCUCUCGGGUGACGAGUGGCGGACGGGUGAGUAAUGUCUGGGAAACUGCCAGAUGGAGGGGGAUAACUACGUGAAACGGUAGCUAAUACCGCAUAACGUCGCAAGACCAAAGUGGGGGACCUUCGGGCCUCACACCAUCGGAUGUGCCCAGAUGGGAUUAGCGAGUAGGUGGGGUAAUGGCUCACCUAGGCGACGAUCCCUAGCUGGUCUGAGAGGAUGACCAGCCACACUGGAACGGAGACACGGUCCAGACUCCUACGGGAGGCAGCAGUGGGGAAUAUUGCACAAUGGGCGCAAGCCUGAUGCAGCCAUGCCGCGUGUAUGAAGAAGGCCUUCGGGUUGUAAAGUACUUUCAGCGGGGAGGAAGGCGAUGUGGUUAAUAACCGCAUUGAUUGACGUUACCCGCAGAAGAAGCACCGGCUAACUCCGUGCCAGCCGCCGCCGUAA